rnacentral:rRNA from 1 species
GACAGAGGUCCCGAGCGUUAGGCGGAAUCACUGGGCUUAAAGCGUGUGUAGGCGGGCCCGUAAGUGUCUUGUGAAAUCCCACGGCUCAACCGUGGAACUGCUGGGCAUACUGCGGGUCUUGGGCCAACUAGGGGCAGCCGGAACAAGCGGUGGAGCGGUGAAAUGCGUAGAUAUCGCUUGGAACGCCGAAGGUGAAAACAGGCUGCUGGGGUUGCGCCGACGCUGAGACACGAAAGCCAGGGGAGCAAACGGG